UACAGAGGGGGCAAGCGUUGUUCGGAAUCACUGGGCGUAAAGCGCACGUAGGCGGAUCUUUAAGUCAGGGGUGAAAUCCUGGAGCUCAACUCCAGAACUGCCUUUGAUACUGGGGAUCUCGAGUCCGGAAGAGGUGAGUGGAACUCCGAGUGUAGAGGUGAAAUUCGUAGAUAUUCGCAAGAACACCAGUGGCGAAGGCGGCUCACUGGCCCGAUACUGACGCUGAGGCACGAAAGCGUGGGGAGCAAACAGG
rnacentral:rRNA from 1 species